UGAAAUGCGAUAACUAGUGUGAAUUGCAUAACUUUGUGAAUCAUUGAGUCUUUGAACGCACUUUGCGGCUUCCGUAAUUGGAGGCCAUGUUUGUUUGAGAAUUGUGCUCUAUACAAUUAUUUAUAAUUGUGUUUUGAGGCCCGAGUUACUUCUGCCAUGAAAAAAAUAUGUAGCGGUGGCUGGUUGCUGAAUCAAGUGAAAUUAAUUCAGGACUGCCACCCGCAACUGUUAAUUCGUCAAUCUCAAAUCAAGCAAGAACACCCGCUGAACUUAA
rnacentral:misc_RNA from 1 species